rnacentral:snoRNA from 1 species
AGCCUCAUUCUGGAUUAGAAUGGGCACAGUUGAUUGGUGUCCAGAAUUGGUCAAUGUGGCUAAACUGAGACACAGGUCAUGCUUCCAUUACAGUAAAUAUUUACAGUGGUGACAAUGAGGCCUGUAACAUUU